rnacentral:rRNA from 1 species
AACGAACGCUGGCGGCGUGCCUAAUACAUGCAAGUCGAACGAAGCUGUUUUAACUGGUGCUUGCACCGACUUAAACAACUGAGUGGCGAACGGGUGAGUAACACGUGGGUAACCUGCCCCAAAGCGGGGGAUAACACUUGGAAACAGAUGCUAAUACCGCAUAACCACAGAAACCACAUGGUUUCUGUGUCAAAGAUGGUUUCGGCUAUCAACUUGGGACGGAACCGCGGCGAAUUAGCUAGUUGGUAAGGUAAUGGCUUACCAAGGCAAUGAUACGUAGCCGAACUGAGAGGUUGAUCGGCCACAUUGGGACUGAGACACGGCCCAAACUCCUACGGGAGGCAGCAGUAGGGAAUCUUCCACAAUGGACGAAAGUCUGAUGGAGCAACGCCGCGUGAGUGAAGAAGGUUUUCGGAUCGUAAAACUCUGUUGUCAGAGAAGAACGUGUGCGAGAGUAACUGUUCGUGCAGUGACGGUAUCUGGCCAGAAAGCCACGGCUAACUACGUGCCAGCAGCCGCCGUAA